rnacentral:rRNA from 1 species
AGUGAACGCUGGCGGUAGGCCUAACACAUGCAAGUCGAACGGCAGCACAGUAAGAGCUUGCUCUUACGGGUGGCGAGUGGCGGACGGGUGAGGAAUACAUCGGAAUCUACUUUUUCGUGGGGGAUAACGUAGGGAAACUUACGCUAAUACCGCAUACGACCUACGGGUGAAAGCAGGGGAUCUUCGGACCUUGCGCGAUUGAAUGAGCCGAUGUCGGAUUAGCUAGUUGGCGGGGUAAAGGCCCACCAAGGCGACGAUCCGUAGUUGGUCUGAGAGGAUGAUCAGCCACACUGGAACUGAGACACGGGCCAGACUCCUACGGGAGGCAGCAGUGGGGAAGAUUGGACAAUGGGCGCAAGCCUGAUCCAGCCAUACCGCGUGGGUGAAGAAGGCCUUCGGGUUGUAAAGCCCUUUUGUUGGGAAAGAAAAGCAGCAGGUUAAUACCCCGCUGUUCUGACGGUACCCAAAGAAUAAGCACCGGCUAACUUCGUG